GAUGAACGCUAGCGGGAGGCCUAACACAUGCAAGCCGAGCGGUAUUGUUUCUUCGGAAAUGAGAGAGCGGCGUACGGGUGCGGAACACGUGUGCAACCUGCCUUUAUCUGGGGGAUAGCCUUUCGAAAGGAAGAUUAAUACACCAUAAUAUAUUGAACGGCAUCGUUUAAUAUUGAAAGCUCCGGCGGAUAGAGAUGGGCACGCGCAAGAUUAGCUAGUUGGUGAGGUAACGGCUCACCAAGGCGAUGAUCUUUAGGGGGCCUGAGAGGGUGAUCCCCCACACUGGUACUGAGACACGGACCAGACUCCUACGGGAGGCAGCAGUGAGGAAUAUUGGUCAAUGGGUGCAAGCCUGAACCAGCCAUCCCGCGUGAAGGACGACUGCCCUAUGGGUUGUAAACUUCUUUUGUAUAGGGAUAAACCUACCCUCGUGAGGGUAGCUGAAGGUACUAUACGAAUAAGCACCGGCUAACUCCGUGCCAGCAGCCGCGGUAAUACGGAGGGUGCAAGCGUUAUCCGGAUUUAUUGGGUUUAAAGGGUCCGUAGGCGGACUUAUAAGUCAGUGGUGAAAGCCUGUCGCUUAACGAUAGAACUGCCAUUGAUACUGUAAGUCUUGAGUAUAUUUGAGGUAGCUGGAAUAAGUAGUGUAGCGGUGAAAUGCAUAGAUAUUACUUAGAACACCAAUUGCGAAGGCAGGUUACCAAGAUAUAACUGACGCUGAGGGACGAAAGCGUGGGGAGCGAACAGGAUUAGAUACCCUGGUAGUCCACGCCGUAAACGAUGCUAACUCGUUUUUGGGCUUUAGGGUUCAGAGACCAAGCGAAAGUGAUAAGUUAGCCACCUGGGGAGUACGCUCGCAAGAGUGAAACCCAAAGGAAUUGACGGGGGCCCGCACAAGCGGUGGAUUAUGUGGUUUAAUUCGAUGAUACGCGAGGAACCUUACCAAGACUUAAAUGGGAAUUGACAGCUUUAGAAAUAGAGCUUUCUUCGGACAAUUUUCAAGGUGCUGCAUGGUUGUCGUCAGCUCGUGCCGUGAGGUGUUAGGUUAAGUCCUGCAACGAGCGCAACCCCUGUCACUAGUUGCCAUCAUUCAGUUGGGGACUCUAGUGAGACUGCCUACGCAAGUAGAGAGGAAGGUGGGGAUGACGUCAAAUCAUCACGGCCCUUACGUCUUGGGCCACACACGUAAUACAAUGGCCGGUACAGAGGGCAGCUACACAGCGAUGUGAUGCAAAUCUCGAAAGCCGGUCUCAGUUCGGAUUGGAGUCUGCAACUCGACUCUAUGAAGCUGGAAUCGCUAGUAAUCGCGCAUCAGCCAUGGCGCGGUGAAUACGUUCCCGGGCCU
rnacentral:rRNA from 1 species